GCCGGGCAAGGUGGCUCAUGCCUGUAAUCCCAGCACUUUGGGAGGCUGAGAUGGGUGGAUCACCUGAGGUCAGGAGUUUGAGACCAGCCUGGCCAACAUGGUGAAACCCCAUCUCUA
rnacentral:SRP_RNA from 1 species